CGCGCAGGCGGUUUUAUAAGUCUGGUGUGAAAGCCCACGGCUCAACCGUGGAGGGUCACUGGAAACUGUAAGACUUGAGUAUAGGAGAGGAAAGUGGAAUUCCAUGUGUAGCGGUGAAAUGCGUAGAUAUAUGGAGGAACACCAGUGGCGAAGGCGACUUUCUGGCCUAUAACUGACGCUGAGGCGCGAAAGCGUGGGGAGCAAACAG
rnacentral:rRNA from 1 species